UACGAAGGGGGCUAGCGUUGCUCGGAAUCACUGGGCGUAAAGGGUGCGUAGGCGGCGCGGUAAGUCGGGUGUGAAAUCUUGGAGCUUAACUCCGAAACUGCAUUCGAUACUGCCGUGCUUGAGGACUGGAGAGGAGACUGGAAUUCCUGGUGUAGCGGUGAAAUGCGCAGAUAUCAGGAAGAACACCUAUGGCGAAGGCAGCUCUCUGGGACGGUACUGGACGCUGAAGACGGCGAAAGCGUGGGGAGCGAACAGG
rnacentral:rRNA from 1 species